rnacentral:lncRNA from 1 species
GAUCCGAUGUCGACAAGACCCAACUUGCUUAAGCCCACUUCUAGCCCUGGUCAACUUUCUUCAUUCUUAGAAGUCCAUUGCAAGAGCACUUUGAAAAGACCACCACCUCCUUUAGAAAAUCAUAGCUAUACCUGUUCUUGGAAAAUUAAGUUGUUCGAUUACUUAGAAUUGAGGUAAGCUUUUCUCUAAGAAAGAAGAAGCUAAUAAUUAGCUUAUAUUGAAUCCAAGUGUUGCUAUAUUGUUUUUUCUUGUAACAACCUAAGACUUUACCCAAAAAAAAUUAACCAAAAAGAAUUAUUUGAGCUCUUUGAUCCUAUAUAAAUAUCCA